rnacentral:rRNA from 1 species
GACGAGCGCUGGCGGCGUGCUUAACACAUGCAAGUCGAACGAUGACGACCGAGCUUGCUCGGUCUGAUUAGUGGCGAACGGGUGAGUAACACGUGAGCAACCUGCCCUUCACUCUGGGAUAACCUCGGGAAAUCGGGGCUAAUACCGGAUAUGAGCUCCUGUCGCAUGGCGGGUGUUGGAAAGUUUUUCGGUGAAGGAUGGGCUCGCGGCCUAUCAGUUUGUUGGUGAGGUAGUGGCUCACCAAGGCGAUGACGGGUAGCCGGCCUGAGAGGGCGACCGGCCACACUGGGACUGAGACACGGCCCAGACUCCUUCGGGAGGCAGCAGUGGGGAAUAUUGCACAAUGGGCGAAAGCCUGAUGCAGCGACGCCGCGUGAGGGAUGACGGCCUUCGGGUUGUAAACCUCUUUCAGCAGUGAAGAAGCGAAAGUGACGGUACCUGCAGAAGAAGCGCCGGCUAACUACGUG